CCUACGGGGGGCUGCAGUCGAGAAUCUUCGGCAAUGGGCGCAAGCCUGACCGAGCGACGCCGCGUGCGGGAUGAAGGCCUUCGGGUUGUAAACCGCUGUCGAGGGGAAUGAAGUGCAGGUGGGUUCUCCCAUCUGUUUGACAGAUCCCUGGAGGAAGCAUGGGCUAAGUUCGUGCCAGCAGCCGCGGUAAGACGAACCAUGCAAUUCUUAUUCGGAUUCACUGGGCUUAACGCUCUUGUUGGCGGGGUGUGAAAGCCCUCAGCCCAACUGAGGAAUUGCGCGUGAUACUGCAUGACUAGAGAAUGAUAGAGGUGGGUGGAACUGAUGGUGGAGCGGUGAAAUGCGUUGAUAUCAUCAGGAACACCAGUGGCGAAGGCGACCCACUGGGUCAUUUCUGACGCUGAGGUACGAAAGCUAGGGUAGCGAACGGGAUUAGAUACCCGAGUAGUC
rnacentral:rRNA from 1 species